CUCAAGCGCGAGCUUGGUGUUGGGGACCGCCCCGGGAGACCGGCGGCGGCCCUUGAAUCCAUCGGCGGUGCUGGUAGCAGCCCGGAGCGCAGCAGACAUGCGGCUUCCCGGGCGGCCCGGCGCCCGCCGGACAACGACGAGACCCUCCAAACGUCGACCUCGAAUCAGGUAGGGAUACCCGCUGAACUUAAGCAUAUCAAUAAGCGGAGGAAAAGAAACCAACAGGGAUUGCCUCAGUAACGGCGAGUGAAGCGGCAGCAGCUCAAAUUUGAAAUCUGGCGCCCCCCGGCGUCCGAGUUGUAAUUUGCAGAGGAUGCUUCGGCGUAGGCGCCGCCCAAAGUUCCUUGGAACGGGACGUCGCAGAGGGUGAGAGCCCCGUGUUCGGGCGGAUGCCUUCGCCGUGUGAAGCUCCUUCGACGAGUCGAGUUGUUUGGGAAUGCAGCUCAAAACGGGAGGUAAAUUUCUUCCAAAGCUAAAUACCGGCCGGAGACCGAUAGUGCACAAGUAGAGUGAUCGAAAGAUGAAAAGCACUUUGGAAAGAGAGUCAAACAGCGCGUGAAAUUGUUGAAAGGGAAGCGCUUGCGGUCAGAACUUGGCCGCCGUUGCUCGGGGAGGCCUCGCGCCUCCCU
rnacentral:rRNA from 1 species